UACGUAGGGACCAAGCGUUGUUCGGAUUUACUGGGCGUAAAGGGCUCGUAGGCGGUCAACUAAGUCAGACGUGAAAUCCCUCGGCUUAACCGGGGAACUGCGUCUGAUACUGGAUGGCUUGAGUUCGGGAGAGGGAUGUGGAAUUCCAGGUGUAGCGGUGAAAUGCGUAGAUAUCUGGAGGAACACCGGUGGCGAAGGCGGCAUCCUGGGCCGACACUGACGCUGAGGAGCGAAAGCCAGGGGAGCAAACGGG
rnacentral:rRNA from 1 species